GGAAAGAGUUAAAGAAAGAAAAUUUCCUAAUGUCUAUACUAGUUAUCCUAUAACUACCUAUAAUUACUACCUAAAACUUCCUAUAUCUACCUAUAAUAACAACCACCCCCACAAAGUUCCAAUAGAAAGAUUGAAAAGAAGAAAGAGAGAUUACUAAGAUUAUACCCUACAAAUAUACCUAAAAUUCCUAAUACUGCCUCUCUAACUGUCUCCUGAGGACAGUUUCUUGUGCUUGGCACAACCCAGACCUAAUAUAACCCACUCUUCCAAUAAAUUAUUCACUAACUACCUAACUUCAUAAAAUAAUGGAUAGCCACCACUCACUCACUCCUUCAAUCAGUUUUCUAUAGCAGCCCAAACUAUCAGUAGCCAAGUGACAGCAGUUCCUUGCCUAUGAGUGUAUAAUUAUUUUAAAUUGAAAAGUUUAAAUUCUUUUUGAGAGUAAUUUUAGGCUAAGAAACAUGAUACCUCUCUGAAUCCAGAAAGUGAACUGUUUGGAGAAGGCACAAUAAAGAUGCCUCCACAGACCACAAGCUGCACCAGAAGUUCCAGAGUGAACUAUGCAACUAAAUGCCAGCCCACCCUAGGAGCCAACCAUCAAUGACCAACUGACGCCCAGCAGCCAAAUUCCCUGCAACUCCAGCCCUAACUGUCAGCAACUGACUCAUCAAAUGCCAGCAAUUACCGCUCCUAACUUGCUGACAGCUGUGAUUCGACGAGGAUGGGGAGGAUAAAGGAAGGGGAGCCUACACUUGCGCAGUAGCGCCUUCUGGGAGGCGCUGGAGCGACUUUUGGCAGCUGCUGGUAAGUGCCGGAUCCUUGUACCUCGUGUUUGCUACACUAGGGCAAGCGGCGGCGUCUAGGUUUAGAGAGCCCCGUGGAGGGAGAGACUGCGAUUGCAUCGGAAAGCAUCCACUGUUGCGGCGUGCAUUGCUUGGAUCAGGAAUGGCUGACGAUCUGGGAGACGAGUGGUGGAAAUCAGAAGGUGUGGGAGCCCACGGAGGCGGCGGCAGCGGCAGCGGCAGCAGCGCAGACUUUUAA
rnacentral:lncRNA from 1 species